rnacentral:rRNA from 1 species
UACGUAGGGGGCAAACGUUGUUCGGAAUUACUGGGCGUAAAGCGCGUGUAGGCGGCUAAGUAAGUCGGGCGUGAAAUCCCACGGCUCAACCGUGGAAGUGCACUCGAAACUGCAUAGCUAGAGUCCUGGAGAGGAAGGUGGAAUGCUUGGUGUAGAGGUGAAAUUCGUAGAUAUCAAGCGGAACACCGGUGGCGAAGGCGGCCUUCUGGACAGUGACUGACGCUGAGACGCGAAAGCGUGGGGAGCAAACAGG